CAAAGAGAGGAAUAUAAAGCACAGUGAGGCUCCUCCCUCUUUCCCUAACAGCCCUUUGAGCUAGUCCAGACAAGAGGCACAAUGCAUUCAUUGAAAGAGAAGUAAGAUUGAGGGAAGAUAACAAAGAAGGACAUCUCAAUGCUUGGAAGAAUGAGCAGAGAAGAAUGGUGGAGGAAAAUAAGCAAAGAAAUGGAAGGAAUAAGGCAUCAGAAAACAUUAUACUUUUGCAUGCCUACUCAAAAGAGAAAAGUGGAGUGAAGAGAACAUAAAAAUACCUUCCCAUUCAGAGGACUGCAGAUUGGAGGAGUGAGGCUGCAAAGCAGUGGACAACCAGGAAAACAUAGUAACUCAGUUCUCUCAUUAAUUUCAUCUUUUCAAUAUAGGAAGCAAAGUGCAGAUGGUAUGAAUAUGCAGAUGGGUGAUUUUCUAAUCAAUACCGUGGCACUUGGGAGUCUGUUUUCAAGUUAAAGCUUUGGCCCACCGGCUGACUGAUGUAGAGGAAAGAAACAUGGCUGUUGUUGCAUAUGAAGAGCCAAAGAAAAAAGGAAGAAAUUUAUUUUUUGUUUCUCGGAUGAGGUGGGAGAAUGGGGGAGAACGCUCAGAAGAAUUUGAGGCAGCUGGCUUAACAUGGAGCUUCUCAUUCAUGGUGUUGAAUAGUGCGUAAUGAGGAAAAAAGAAGUGAUAGGAGGUGGAAAACCAAAUGUAGAAAUUGGAAUUGCCAUACUACUUCUACAAACCAGAAAGAUAAUAAUCAAAGAAUUAUCUGAGCCUAAGAAGGAUAUUCCAAACAACUGUGAAGAUCAAAGGCUUUCAGUGAAUGCCUUCUUUUGGAAAUUAAGAAGUGGAACAUCACCCCUACUACUCCACCAUUUUAAAGAAUUUCAAUUUAAAAGCAAAAGGUUUAACAAGACUGUGAUCUAAAAAAAAGAGAGCUUUAAAUAGACAAAGGGGACAUUGCUUUAUUUUUUUUUUUCCUGAUGAAAAUGCCUUUGAAUGUAAUCCAAUUAAAUACACUAACAUACUGGACAUUUGUGGGAAUGAUGAUUGUUGAUUUUAAGAUCAGUAAUAAUUCGUGGAUUUUACAAGUCAAGAAGAUAAGAACAAUAUGAACUGAAUUAUGACACUAAUUAUGGAGAACUAAUUGGGAGUAAAGUUUCAAAGAUCGAGUGAAGCAAAACAGGAAAACAAGGAGAACUCUCUCUUUUAUUUUCACCAUAAUAAUUGACAUAUUUUCACUUUCUCACCAUCACAAGGAAGCUGCCAAAUUGGGAGAAGGAUGCAGGGGUUGAGAAAUAGAUAAAGACUUUUCCCCAGAUUUAUUGCAGAACAUAUUUGAAGAAUUUGGCAAAAAGGUAUCUGGAACAGAUAAAAAGGAAAAGGAAGAAGGAUUUUCAGGGAUUUAAAAAGAAUCUAAAAAAGAAGAAGUUAAGAAAAUAGAAGAAUCUAUAAAGCAACUGAUUGCAGACUUAAAACAAAUUACUGACAAAAUAAACUUCUGAUUUUGAUGAUUAAUCAGGAUAGACUAUAGAAAGAAGAGUAAUGUGACAUAACUUUCAAAAGAGAGGUUAAAAUAUAUUUGUAUUUAUAAUUGCUUUGAAGAAUAUCAGGAGCCACUUCUUUCCAUAUUUUCUUUUCUACUAUUUUCUUUUUUCUUUU